UCCGGAUUGAUGUUGGGCCACCAGGGCAAAGAAAGAGGAAGAAAAAGUAAGGUGAAGCUCUUUGUUCCACAUGCCGCGGCGUGCAGGGGCAGAUUUGAAUGCAACGGGCUCCUCUAUGCCAUGCGCCAGGUUGUACAAUCAAAAUUUUUAAUAAAUCAAUUCAUGUUUUAAGCGAAAAUUAGAGAAGAAAGGAAGGAGAAACCGAAGAGCUCAACUUAGGCUCUGCUAGGGCAUUGCAUUGGCUCCUAUUGUUGAUGUUUUAAAGCUCCCAAACACCCAAAUGAGGUUCAAUUUUGGCACCAUUUAAGCUUGGGAGGAGCUUUGAAAGUUUUUUGGUGUGAGGGAUAAACCUUUGACCUCUCAAAGGAUUGAGGAUUGAAAGGUAAAGUGGCAGUUCAAGACUUAACGCACGAGCAGUAGUGAGAGUUUUUGGCACGUGGCAUAGAAUUUUUACUUAAAAGCUAAGUCAGAUCAUGAAAACAGAAGGCAAAGUUAAGGAAAAAUGCGUGAGAGGCAGAGGAGAAGACUUGUGUGCUAGGACAACCAUUAUCCAGCUAUCAGGAGUUUGCUUCAACUAGCAACUUAUCAGAUUGAAGGGUAAAAUGACAGUUGAAGACUUAACGCACAAGCAGUAGUGAGAGUUUUUGGCACGUGGCACAGAAUUUUUACUUAAAAGCUAAGUUAGAUCAUGAAAACAGAAGGCAAAGUUAAGGAAAAAUGUGUGAGAGGCAGAGGAGAAGACCUGUGUGCUAGGACAACCAUUAUCUAGCUAUCAGGAGUUUGCUUCAACUAAUGAUUUAUCAGGUAAGUAUCAUACAGCCCUUGUUAUGAGCUAGAAUAUGUUAUGAGCUUCAUCUGAGCGCUUGAAUCAUUCCAAUCGGUUGUCAAAUGUGAAAAUGGUG